GACGAACGCUGGCGGCGUGCUUAACACAUGCAAGUCGAACGGAAAGGCCCUGCUUUUGUGGGGUGCUCGAGUGGCGAACGGGUGAGUAACACGUGAGUAACCUGCCCUUGACUUUGGGAUAACUUCAGGAAACUGGGGCUCAUACCGGAUAGGAGCCCCUGCUGCAUGGUGGGGGUUGGACAGUUUCGGCGGUUGGGGAUGGACUCGCGGCUUAUCAGCUUGUUGGUGGGGUAGUGGCUUACCAAGGCUUUGACGGGUAGCCGGCCUGAGAGGGUGACCGGCCACAUUGGGACUGAGAUACGGCCCAGACUCCUACGGGAGGCAGCAGUGGGGAAUAUUGCACAAUGGGCGGAAGCCUGAUGCAGCAACGCCGCGUGCGGGAUGACGGCCUUCGGGUUGUAAACCGCUUUCGCCUGUGACGAAGCGUGAGUGACGGUAAUGGGUAAAGAAGCACCGGCUAACUACGUG
rnacentral:rRNA from 1 species